AGAGUUUGAUCCUGGCUCAGGAUGAACGCUGGCGGCGUGCCUAACACAUGCAAGUCGAACGGUUAAGGCGGCUUCGGCCGCGAAUAAAGUGGCGAACGGGUGAGUAACGCGUGACCGACCUUCCCCCCGCACCGGGACAACCGCGGGAAACCGCGGCUGAUACCGGGUACUCCGGGGCCCCCGCAUGGGGGCCCCGGGAAAGCUCCGGCGGCGGGGGAUGGGGUCGCGUCCCAUCAGGUAGUAGGCGGGGCAACGGCCCACCUAGCCGACGACGGGUAGCCGGGUUGAGAGACCGACCGGCCACAUUGGGACUGAGAUACGGCCCAGACUCCUACGGGAGGCAGCAGUGGGGAAUUUUGCGCAAUGGGGGCAACCCUGACGCAGCAACGCCGCGUGCGGGACGACGGCCUUCGGGUUGUAAACCGCUUUCAGCAGGGAAGAACCUUUGACGGUACCUGCAGAAGAAGCCCCGGCUAACUACGUGCCAGCAGCCGCGGUAAUACGUAGGGGGCGAGCGUUAUCCGGAAUGAUUGGGCGUAAAGCGCGCGCAGGCGGCCGCUCAAGCGGGACCUCUAACCCCGGGGCUCAACCCCGGGCCGGGUCCCGAACUGGGCGGCUCGAGUGCGGUAGGGGAGAGCGGAAUUCCAAGUGUAGCGGUGAAAUGCGCAGAUAUUUGGAAGAACACCGAUGGCGAAGGCAGCUCUCUGGGCCGUCACUGACGCUGAGGCGCGAAAGCCGGGGGAGCGAACAGGAUUAGAUACCCUGGUAGUCCCGGCCGUAAACGAUGGGCGCUAGGUGUGGGGAAACAUUUUCUCCGUGCCGCAGCCAACGCAUUAAGCGCCCCGCCUGGGGAGUACGGCGGCAAC
rnacentral:rRNA from 1 species